rnacentral:rRNA from 1 species
GCAGUCGACGGCAGCGGGGGCUUCGGCCUGCCGGCGAGUGGCGAACGGGUGAGUAAUGCAUCGGAACGUGCCCAUGUCGUGGGGGAUAACUACGCGAAAGCGUAGCUAAUACCGCAUACGCCCUGAGGGGGAAAGCGGGGGAUUCUUCGGAACCUCGCGCGAUUGGAGCGGCCGAUGUCAGAUUAGCUAGUUGGUGAGGUAAAGGCUCACCAAGGCGACGAUCUGUAGCGGGUCUGAGAGGAUGAUCCGCCACACUGGGACUGAGACACGGCCCAGACUCCUACGGGAGGCAGCAGUGGGGAAUUUUGGACAAUGGGCGCAAGCCUGAUCCAGCCAUGCCGCGUGAGUGAAGAAGGCCUUCGGGUUGUAAAGCUCUUUCGGCCGGGAAGAAAUCGGCGACUCUAACAUACUCGCUGGAUGACGGUACCGGACUAAGAAGCACCGGCUAACUACGUGCCAGCAGCCGCGGUAAUACGUAGGGUGCGAGCGUUAAUCGGAAUUACUGGGCGUAAAGCGUGCGCAGGCGGUUUUGUAAGACAGAUGUGAAAUCCCCGGGCUUAACCUGGGAACUGCGUUUGUGACUGCNAGGCUAGAGUACGGCAGAGGGGGGUGGAAUUCCUGGUGUAGCAGUGAAAUGCGUAGAUAUCAGGAGGAACACCGAUGGCGAAGGCAGCCCCCUGGGCCUGUACUGACGCUCAUGCACGAAAACGUGGGGAGCAAACAGGAUUAGAUACCC